GAUAGCCGAAGAUAAUCGCCGGGUUGAGGGUGGGGUUAGUGAUCACCCGUACGUCCCCACCACCGGGGGCCCAGGUGUCGUAUACACCGCCAAAGAACAUGGCUUUAAAGACCAGUAACAGAGCACCACAACCCAACAGGAUCAAGUGGUAGCCAAUGAUGUUGGUCAUCUGGUUUUUAUCUUUCCA
rnacentral:antisense_RNA from 19 species